rnacentral:rRNA from 1 species
CAGCCGCCGCGGGAAUACGUAGGGUGCAAGCGUUAAUCGGAAUUACUGGGCGUAAAGCGUGCGCAGGCGGUUAUAUAAGACAGAUGUGAAAUCCCCGGGCUCAACCUGGGAACUGCAUUUGUGACUGUAUAGCUAGAGUACGGCAGAGGGGGAUGGAAUUCCGCGUGUAGCAGCGAAAUGCGUAGAUAUGCGGAGGAACACCGAUGGCGAAGGCAAUCCCCUGGGCCUGUACUGACGCUCAUGCACGAAAGCGUGGGGAGCAAACAGGAUUAGAUACCCCAGUAGUCCCUGUCUCUUAUAC